GGGAGGGCCCCCGGGUGGCUCAGCCCACAUUUCAGACCCUCCCCCCCAUCCCCGGGCAGAGCUGAGCUGGACUUCCCCGCAGAGACAGCCCCUCGGGAGCCAUGGGAUUGCGACUGCGAAGUGAAAGAGAAAAGACCUCGCCUGAUCAACCUGACGCGGCGGAGCCUCACCGUAGGUGGACAGCAUCCUGCCCGCCUGCAGGCUGCCAGGAAGUCACGCGUGGCCAUGUUUUCAAGAACGCCCCCAGCAGAAGGGAUGACGCUCAUUCGCCCUCUGCCAUGGCCUGGGAAAGCAGUAGAAGAUGGCCCAAGUCCUUGGGCCCCUGCACCCAUGAGGGAGACCUGGAGGAAGCUCCUGCCUCCUGGCUUCGGAUCAGUUCCUGGCUGUGGCGGUCAUUUGGGGAAUGAACCAGCGGAUAGAAGACCUCUUUCUCUCUCUCUCUCUCUCUGGCUCUACCUCUCUCUGUAACUCUGUCUUUCAAGUAAAUAAAAAUAAUUUUUUAAAAGAAAAAGAAAUGCAUGAAGUUUGUAUUCCUUAAAUUAAAAAGUUUCUGGGGGAAAAAAUAGCAUCUUCUCCCCACUACCCAGAAAGCCAAGUGCUGG